UACGGGGGGGGCAAGCGUUGUUCGGAAUUACUGGGCGUAAAGGGCUCGUAGGUGGCCAACUAAGUCAGACGUGAAAUCCCUCGGCUUAACCGGGGAACUGCGUCUGAUACUGGGAGGCUUGGAUUCGGGAGAGGGAUGUGGAAUUCCAGGUGUAGCGGUGAAAUGCGCAGAUAUCAGGAGGAACACCAAUGGCGAAGGCAGCUCGCUGGGACGGUACUGACACUGAGACGCGAAAGCGUGGGGAGCAAACAGG
rnacentral:rRNA from 1 species